rnacentral:rRNA from 1 species
UACGGAGGAUGCGAGCGUUGUCCGGAAUUACUGGGCGUAAAGGGCACGCAGGCUGUUAUUCAAGCCAUCUGUAAAAGGAUGCGGCUUAACCGUGUUAAGCAGAUGGGACUGAAGGACUGGAGUGCUGGAGAGGCAAGCGGAAUUCCCUGUGUAGCGGUGAAAUGCGUAGAUAUAGGGAAGAACAUCGGUGGCGAAGGCGGCUUGCUGGCCAGUAACUGACGCUGAGGUGCGAAAGCCAGGGUAGCAAACG